GAACGCUCCUGGGUUUCGGCCUGGGGGAGUGGCGCACGGGUGAGUAGCGCGUGGGAACCUGCCCUCUUGUGGGGGAUAACCGAGGGAAACCUCGGCUAAUACCGCAUAAGCCGGAGAAAUUCGGGAAAGAUUUAUCGCGAGAGGAGGGGCCCGCGUCGGAUUAGCUGGUUGGUGGGGUAACGGCCUACCAAGGCGAUGAUCCGUAGCUGGUCUGAGAGGAUGAUCAGCCACACUGGGACUGAGACACGGCCCAGACUCCUACGGGAGGCAGCAGUGGGGAAUAUUGGACAAUGGGCGCAAGCCUGAUCCAGCAAUGCCGCGUGAGUGAGGAAGGCCUUAGGGUUGUAAAGCUCUUUCACCCGCGACGAUGAUGACGGUAGCGGGAGAAGAAGCCCCGGCUAACUUCGUGCCAGCAGCCGCGGUAAU
rnacentral:rRNA from 1 species